rnacentral:rRNA from 1 species
UACGGAGGGUGCAAGCGUUAUCCGGAUUCACUGGGUUUAAAGGGUGCGUAGGAGGGCAGGUAAGUCAGUGGUGAAAUCUCCGAGCUUAACUUGGAAACUGCCGUUGAUACUAUCUGUCUUGAAUAUUGUGGAGGUGAGCGGAAUAUGUCAUGUAGCGGUGAAAUGCUUAGAGAUGACAUAGAACACCCAUUGCGAAGGCAGCUUACUACGGAUUGAUUGACACUGAGGCACGAAAGCGUGGGGAUCAAACAGG